UGCGUUCGGAAUCGAAAACCGUGCACCGUAGGUCCUUAUUCUCUUGCUCCGACGAGCUUCCUUGAGGCUGGCCAUGGUGGCCACCGUGUUCCGGAGCUGCCCUGUUCGCCGUCCCCUUCCUCUCUCUCUCUUUUUUUUAUAUAUUUUUCUUUUAAUCCAGCGUGUUCAUCUGUGAUCCAACGGCCUACAAUGCCCCGUACCCCUUCGAGGGCAUUUUUGUUAAAGAGUCCCCCAGGAAUCCCAUUUUUGCGCGCGCAGUCCUCGGCC
rnacentral:lncRNA from 1 species